AUUCUGCCCAUGCGGGGAAGGAUGAGAAGCUUCGACUAAGGUUCGGCUCGAGCGUCAGCGAGAGAGCGUUGCCGCAGGCAACGACCCGAAGG
rnacentral:sRNA from 1 species